UACCUGCAGCUCAAGUGGUGGCCGCUAUUAUUGGGCCUAAAACGUUCGUAGCCGGUUGAGUAAAUGCCUGGGUAAAUUGUGCCGCUUAACGGUACGAAUUCCGGGUAGACUACUCAGCUUGAGACCGGGAGAAGCUAGAGGUACUCCUGGGGUAGAGGUGAAAUUCUGUAAUCCUGGGGGGACCACCAGUGGCGAAGGCGUCUAGCUAGAACGGGUCUGACGGUGAGGAACGAAACCCUGGGGCGCAAACCGGAUUAGAUACCCGGGUAGUCCAGGGCGCAAACGCUGCUUGCUUGAUGUUAGCUGGGCUCCGAGCUCAGCUAGUGUCGGAGAGAAGUUGUUAAGCAAGCUGCCUGGGAAUACGAUCGCAAGAUUGAAACUUAAAGGAAUUGGCGGGGAGCACAGCAACGGGUGGAGCGUGCGGUUU
rnacentral:rRNA from 1 species